UACGGAGGAUGCAAGCGUUAUCCGGAAUGAUUGGGAGUAAAGCGUCCGCAGGUGGCCAUGUAAGUCUGCUGUCAAAGCGUCUGGCUCAACCAGAUAAAGGCAGUGGAAACUACAUAGCUAGAGUAAGGUAGGGGUAGAGGGAAUUUCCGGUGGAGCGGUGAAAUGCAUUGAGAUCGGAAAGAACACCAACGGCGAAAGCACUCUGCUGGGCCGACACUGACACUGAGAGACGAAAGCUAGGGGAGCAAAUGGG
rnacentral:rRNA from 1 species